GAGGUUGCUAUUCGUCGAGAUGGUAUAUUCAUUACUUCUGUAUUUGUUUUUGUUUCUAUUUCUGUUUACCAAUGUUACCCUUGAGGAAUGGGAGCUUCAGUGAUGGCUUCAUGUUUUGAAAAUGAAGACAUCUUUACACGAACAUGGACACGUCACUUUCUUUUAUAUGCAUGUAAUAAAUUUUAUACACACCCCACCUUAAAAAAUGAAUUCCUUAUAUAUAAUAUUGUGAAAGAUAGCAGUG
rnacentral:misc_RNA from 1 species